UUAAAUUGAAGAGUUUGAUCAUGGCUCAGAUUGAACGCUGGCGGCAGGCCUAACACAUGCAAGUCGAACGGUAACAGGAAGAAGCUUGCUUCUUUGCUGACGAGUGGCGGACGGGUGAGUAAUGUCUGGGAAACUGCCUGAUGGAGGGGGAUAACUACUGGAAACGGUAGCUAAUACCGCAUAACGUCGCAAGACCAAAGAGGGGGA
rnacentral:rRNA from 1 species